AUAUUUUAUAAAAGUAUUUUAAUUAUUUAUUGUUUUAGUAUUGAUUAAAAAUUAAUUUUUAGAUUUAUAGUUUAAUAGUAUUGUAUGAGAAAUAAGUAAUAUUUAAUAAAGAAUUUAUUUAGUACCUUUUGUAUCAGGGUUAAUUAAAAUUUUUAAUUUAUUUUAAUUUCUCAAAAUUUAUAGAGUUAAUUUUAUUAUUAAGUUAUUGUAGUAAAAAUAUUUAUAAAAUAAUUUUAGUUUUGAAAUUUAAUUCGUUAUAUUAUAUUUAGUUAUUUAAGAUUUAAAUUUAAUUUAAAAUUUUAAGAGUUAAUUUAAUUUUUUUUAUUAAUAUUUUAAAUUUAGAUUAUUUUAGGGAUAAGCUUGAAAUUUUUAUAUAAUAUUUAUUUUAAUUAAAUAAUUAAUAGGAAUAGAAAUUUUUAUUUUAAGUUUGUAAAAAUUUAUUAUUUAAUUUUUUUUUAAUUUAUUAUAAUUUGUUUAUUUUUUAUAUUAAAUUUUAUAAAUUAAUAUUUUAUUUGUAGUAAUAAUGAUUAAAUUAGUAUAUUUUAAAUUUAUAAAUUAUGAAUUCGGCAAUUUUUAUUUUCAUCUGUUUAACAAAAACAUUGUAUUAAGUUUAAUUUAAUAUAGGAUCUGCUCAAUGAUUGAAUUAAAUAGCUGCAGUAUUUUGACUGUGCAAAGGUAGCAUAAUAAUUAGUCUUUUAAUUGUGGACUGGUAUGAAAGAUUUGAUGAAAAAUAAACUUUAUUAUUUAUAUAAUUAGAAUUUUAUUUUUAAGUAAAAAGGCUUAAAUAUUUUAAAGGGACGAUAAGACCCUAUAAAACUUUAUAAUUAAUAAUUUUUAAAUUUUUGGUUUAAUUAUAUUUUUGUAUAAUAAAUAAGUAUUUAAAUUUUAUUAAUUAUUUUAUUGGGGUGAUAAAAAAAUUUAAUAAACUUUUUUUAAAAUUUAACAUUAUUAAAUGAUAAUUUGAAUUAAAAUUUUUAAUUAAAGGAAAAAGUUACUUUAGGGAUAACAGCGUAAUUAAUUUUUUAAGUUCAAAUUUAAAAUUUAGUUUGCGACCUCGAUGUUGAAUUAAGAUUAGUCUUAGGUGCAAAAUUUUAAGUAUUAGGUCUGUUCGACCUUUAAAUUCUUACAUGAUUUGAGUUCAGACC
rnacentral:rRNA from 1 species